rnacentral:rRNA from 1 species
UGCCAGCCGCCGCGGUAAUACGGAGGGUGCAAGCGUUGUUCGGAAUUAUUGGGCGUAAAGCGCGUGUAGGCGGUUCGUUAAGUCUGAUGUGAAAGCCCGGGGCUCAACCCCGGAAGUGCAUUGGAAACUGGCGAACUUGAGUACGGGAGAGGAAAGUGGAAUUCCGAGUGUAGGGGUGAAAUCCGUAGAUAUCUAGAGGAAUACCAAUGGCGAAGGCAGCUUACUGGACGAGAUCUGACGCUAAAGCACGAAAGCGUGGGGAGCGAAAGGGAUUAGAUA